UAUUAUUUGCAGGAAUUUAUCUCUCUCUCUCUCUCUCAAAAGUUAUAUGGCUUAUUUUAAGAAGUUUAUAUUGAACCUGGCUUUGCUCUUUAUGAUGAUUUUAUCAAUGAAAGUGGCAACAACGGCAAGGGUACCACUAUGGAAAAUUGAGCCUCAUCACAAAACAUGUAAGUAUAUAUUCUUUUUUUUUUCCCUUUUAUAUAGCACUAGUUGAAAUUUCACAUUUUUGUUUAAUUCCUAGGAGUAUCAUUUUUCUCCAUAUCUAUGCAAUUUUUGCAAUAGAUUUUCACUAAUUAUGUCUUGAAAUAUAUUUAAUGUCAUUUUCAUGACAUAGCUAGUAAUUAUGUCUUGAAAUCAAUAAUUUCAUUAUUGAUUUAGUAUUUUUUUUUUUCAUUUGAAAUUUAUGUAUAUGGCUUACUAAUUCAUCACCAUGUUGCUGCUAUAUAUGUUUGUUUGGAAAAUCUCAAAGAUGGAAGCCCAAUUUAUGUUGUUAAUAAUCGUCCUCGUGACCACAACUAUAUUAUUGAUCCUCCUCCUGAAUGUUGUUGAUCAUAUUUUCGAACUUCUUGCAAAGAUGAUCACAACAUUUAUAAUGAUGGCAAAGAAUAAAAAAGAGAGAAGAAGAAGAAGAAAGAUCCAAGCAAAACUUCUGGAAUUGCAUAUGAGUUUGUGUCCAUACAUUAUAGCUAAGGUUCUAUUUUGCAAGGCUAAUUUUCGAACUUAUUAUAGACUUAUAGUAGAAAGCUUAUAACUUAGUGAGUUAAAUGUAACCUAUAUAGAUUGAUUUGGUGGUAAAAGCUUAUAUAGCUAAUAAGUAAUAACCCACGUAGAUUUUAUCCACCACAAUUUUAAUGAUUGAUUUAGUUUCACAGGUAACUCGCAUAGAUUGAUCUGGUGAUAAAAAUUUGGGACUUUAAAAUGUGUUAUUUUUUAAGGUUUCAAAUUCGAAUUCUUUUUAUGUCACUUUAUAUUGGAUCGGUCUAUAAAAAGCGAAAUUCUACUAGCAACAAUGUGAUUAAUGUUUCUAGUAUUAGUCGAUUCUUUUUGAAUCAUAAAAAGAUAUAUUAGUACACAUGUUCAUGCUAUUAAUUCAAUACUUACUAAAUUAAAAUAGCAACCAAUUAACCAAGACAUGUUUCCGGUGCCAUGGUGUGACCAAUUUUUUUCUAAAGUGACACACAUUUUGUAAAAUAGAAUAUUAUAUGCUACCAAUCCACUUUAUCCAAAAAAAAAGUACAACAUGCACGUUGAAAUAUAUUACUCCUGAAACCUAACUCUUUGGAUGUAAUUCAAUUAAACAAAGAAAAAGUUAGGCAACCAUAAGGAAAUGUCCCCAUGCACUAUAAAUAUAAUAACUCCAAUGAUGACAAUUCAACUUGCGUUAUUGAUUAUACACCUACUAGCCUCAAAAUAUAUUAUAUAUAAUGGAGUACCACCUAUACAUACAGAUACAGAUGAAUAUAUAAAUCCACGUUAAUUAGGCUAACAACACACCUUCUAACACACUCUUAAAAUGUAGCAAACAAUAUUUGCCUAUAGGGCCUAACCCAAUAUUAUAAGCACAGUGGAUUUGAUUAACAAAAAAAAAAAAACCACAAUCGAAUAAGUAAAACUUNNNNNAAAAAAAAAAAAAAAACUUAUUAUUUGUUCAACGGAAAUGCUAAAUCUCUUGACACAUACCUUACGAAUUAUUUGCGAAUGAGUUCUCAAACUCAAACAUUUACAUUUCACUUAACUACUCAGCAAAGGGGGCAUUAAUUGACAAGCAAUAGCAAUAUACAUUUAUGGAUUUGGAUCAUCUCCAAUUUUUCCUCAUUUUCUCUCAUUUUUCGUAAUCUAAGGGUUGAUAAAUUACAAAGAAUAAAAAUGAGAGAAAAUCAACUCUUAAUUAAACUAGUUUAAUCAGUCGAGUUACUCAUUCCACCCUAUUAUCAAAAUAAAUAUAGUUAGUCAAACAUAAAUAUUAGUUCAUUUUUCUCAUCACAUGUCCUUCAGAUUCAUAAAUAUUAAUUAAUGAUUACGAUGUAUUACCUAAUCAGUGUCAAAAAUGAUGCAUCGCCGAAGAAAAUUUUCUUAGACAAAUGCAUACUAAAUUGUUAAAAAAGUAUUAAUAAUGCUUAGAAAUAGUGAAUUAUGCUAUUCAUAUCUUUGACUUUAUCAUACCAAAUUUAUUUGUUUUUUUCUUUGUGAGGAUGACAUGUUUUGGUCCUAUUAUUACGAGGAUAGUAUUCGAAAGAUACUCUUUGAGGGGAUUUAUCUAUCUUUCUCAAGACUUAUAUAUUUGCAUCCAAUAUCCUCAUUCACUUUCCACACACAUAUAUAUGUUCUAGCUUCUAUUAUAUUUGUUCUAAGAAAUAUCAAUUAUAUGGCUUAUUUUAAGAAGGUUAUAUUGAACCUGGCUUUGCUGUUUGUGAUUAUGUUGUCAAUGAAAGUGGCAAAAACGGCAAGGGUACCCCUAUGGGAAAUUCAGCCUCAACACAAAACUUGUAAGCAAUAUGACAUAUAUCUUUAGAAGAAAAUAGUUAAAUUUAUGUACAUGUUUUAUCAAAAAGUCUAUCUAUAAUUAAGGACAUAUUUUGAAUUUUAGCAUUUUUUUUAGUGUAAUCAUUCUGAUUUCUAGGGGUCUAGAUAAUUGAAAGUAAAAUUUGAUAAAUUUAGAUCUUUUACUUAGAAUUAAAAUUUUUCGAAACAAUUCAUCUGAAUCAUUCAUUCUUAAUUAGUAAAGUAGAUUUAACUAUUAUUAUUAUUAGGGUUAAAUAUGCAAAAGGUCCCUGCACUUACGAGUCAUUUGAGUUUUAGUCACUGCGUUUUAAAAACAUUUCAUUUUGCCACUGCACUUUCAUUUUACUUUAAAAAUGGUCCCCAGACCUUUUUUUUUGUUGAAAUGACACAUUUUUGCUGAUCUGUUACUGUUGACUGGACUUUAGAGUUGAUGACUCAUUUAAUUUUGCAGUGAAUCGAUCAAAAUACCCUUAAAUAAGCAAUUUUUUAAAAGUAAAAUAAAAUUGACACAUCAUGAAAAAAUGUGCCACUUCAACAAAAAAUGGAUUCAGGGACCAUUUUUAAAGUAAAAUGAAACUGCAGUGACAAAAUAAAAGGAUUUUAAAAUGCAGGGACUAAAACUCAAAUGACCCGUAAGUGCAGGGACCUUUUGCAUAUUUAAGCCUUAUUAUUAUUAUCAAUAUAUUUUUCGUUCAAACAAUAUAUUAUUAUUAUUAUUAUUAUUGUUAUUUUAUUUGAAAAUUAUAUAUGGUUUACUAAUUCAUUCCCUAUCGUUGCUGCCAUGUUUGUUUGGGAAUCUCAAAGAUGGACGGCUACGUUAUACUAUUCAUGAUCAACCACACAAGCACAACUUUAGUCCUCCUCCUCCUCCUUAAUUAUAUAUUUUGAUGAUGAUCCAAAACACUGGAGUAAUCGCGAUGGCAAAAAAACAAGUUCGAAACAAUUAAAAAGGGAAUAAAAGAAAAGGUUCAAACAUUAUGAUCCAUAGAUGACUGUGAUAUAGGUUUGAGUACCUUGUACUUCAUUUACAUACUUAUGUUUGCUUAAACAUAUAUGUGACACCAAGCGAAAAUUGUUGCCUGUCUUACUUUUAGGCAACCAUUUACCCAUGUUGUAUAAAAAUGCAUGUGUUGCCGGAAACAACAAAUGUUGUAGUGAUAUAUAAGUUAUUUUGUUUAAAUAUAUUUUGACCUUUUAUUUUCUCUAAUUUACAAUUUUGUUCUAGG
rnacentral:lncRNA from 1 species